GCAGCGGGGCGACUGGCGAGCAGCUGGGUGGAGUCCACGGGAAUUUCGGUUCCCGCACCCGCGUCGCACAGCCCGGCCCAGUCUUCUUGCUCCCGGCGGCGUGGAAACGUGACGGGCCCACCCUAACUCACGUGAGGUAUACCUAUGAUGAAAAUUACAGGCCUGUGAUCUUUUUAAGUGGGAGAACUUGCACAAUUGCGGAUCGUCGAAGCUGCCUGCACAGCUCUUGGAUGUAGAUGGAGCCCGUGUGCUUGUUUCGAAAUGACUUGCAUUCUGGUACAGUGGCCAUGCCGAGCAGGAAGUCAGCAUCUGAGGGCACCGUCUCGGCGUGGAUGG